rnacentral:rRNA from 1 species
AGCAGCCGCGGUAAUUCCAGCUCCAAUAGCGUAUAUUAAAGUUGUUGCAGUUAAAAAGCUCGUAGUUGAAUUUCGGAAUCUGUCCAUCGGUCGGGCUUUAUUGUCCGUACUGGUGUGAUGGGUUCUUACCUUCUGAAUAACCAGGAUGCCAUUCACUUAGUGUGCUGGGGAAGCAGGACUAUUACCUUGAAAAAUUAGAGUGCUCAAAGCAGGCUAGUGCCUGAAUACAUUAGCAUGGAAUAAUAAAAUAGGACGGCAUGGUUCUAUUUUGUUGGUUUCUAGGAUCACCGUAAUGAUUAAUAGGGAUAGUUGGGGGCAUUAGUAUUCAAUUGUCAGAGGUGAAAUUCUUGGAUUUAUUGAAGACUAACUUCUGCGAAAGCAUUUGCCAAGGAUGUUUUCAUUAAUCAAGAACGAAAGUUAGGGGAUCGAAGACGAUCAGAUACCGUCGUAGUCUUAACCAUAAACUAUGCCGACUAGGGAUCGGACGAUGUUAAUUUUUAAUGACUCGUUCGGCG